GGUGCCCAGGCUUCAGGGAAUGAACAGAUCAGGGUGCCCAGGCUGCAGGGGAUGAGCAGGUCAGGGUGCCCAGGCUGCAGGGGAUGAGCAGGUCAGGGUGCCCAGGCUGCAGGGGAUGAGCAGGUCAGGGUGCCCAGGCUGCAGGGGAUGAGCAGGUCAGGGUGCCCAGGCUGCAGGGGAUGAGCAGGUCAGGGUGCCCAGGCUGCAGGGGAUGAGCAGGUCAGGGUGCUCGCUUGUUAAAAAAAAAUGUCCUAGAUCAGGUG